rnacentral:rRNA from 1 species
GAUGAACGCUAGCGGCAGGCUUAAUACAUGCAAGUCGAGGGGCAGCGGGUUCCGCAGCAAUGCGGGAUGCCGGCGACCGGCGCACGGGUGCGUAACACGUAUGCAACCUACCUAUAACUGGAGAAUAGCCCGGAGAAAUCCGGAUUAACACUCCAUAUUAUCACGAAGAGGCAUCUCUUUGUGCUGAAAGCUCCGGCGGUUAUAGAUGGGCAUGCGCCGAUUAGCUAGUUGGUGAGGUAACGGCUCACCAAGGCAACGAUCGGUAGGGGAUCUGAGAGGAU